rfam:Stegodyphus mimosarum contig107327, whole genome shotgun sequence.
GCCUUCGUGGUGUAGUGGUCAGUACGCUCAGCGCGUAUUCGAGAGGUCCAUGGUUCGAGUCCCGGCGAGGGCA